rnacentral:rRNA from 1 species
GUACUGUGCAAACGUUGUUCGGAAUCACUGGGCUUAAAGGGUGCGUAGGCGGCCGUUCAAGUCGGGUGUGAAAUCCCUCGGCUCAACCGAGGAACUGCGCCCGAAACUGGACGGCUUGAGUGAGAUAGGGGUGUGCGGAACUUCCAGUGGAGCGGUGAAAUGUGUUGAUAUUGGAAGGAACACCGGUGGCGAAAGCGGCACACUGGGUCUCAACUGACGCUGAGGCACGAAAGCCAGGGGAGCGAACGGGAUUAGAUACCCCGGUAGUCCUGGCUGUAAACGAUGAGCACUAGACGGGAGGGGCUUCGGCCCCAUCCGGUCGCAGCGAAAGCAAUAAGUGCUCCGCCUGGGGGAGUAUGGCCGCAAGGCUG